UACGGAGGGUGCAAACGUUGCUCGGAAUCAUUGGGCGUAAAGCGCACGUAGGCGGCCCGGUAAGUCGGAUGUGAAAGCCCUCGGCUCAACUGAGGAAGUGCAUUCGAAACUGCCAGGCUUGAAUAUGGAAGAGGGUCGCGGAAUUCCCGGUGUAGAGGUGAAAUUCGUAGAUAUCGGGAGGGACACCAGUGGCGAAGGCGGCGACCUGGGCCAAUAUUGACGCUGAGGUGCGAAAGCGUGGGGAGCAAACAGG
rnacentral:rRNA from 1 species